GUGCACCAGUCGAGAAUUUUUCUCAAUGGGCGAAAGCCUGAAGGAGCGACGCCGCGUGGAGGAUGAAGGCUUUCGGGUUGUAAACUCCUGUCAUUUGAGAACAAGUGUAGCCAAAUAACUACUGGCUACUUGAUAGUAUCAGAAGAGGAAGGGACGGCUAACUCUGUGCCAGCAGCCGCGGUAAUACAGAGGUCCCAAGCGUUGUUCGGAUUCAUUGGGCGUAAAGGGUGCGUAGGUGGCGCCGUCAGUGGGGUGUGAAAUUUCGGAGCUUAACUCCGAAACUGCAUUCCAUACUGCGGUGCUUGAGGACUGGAGAGGAGACUGGAAUUCAUGGUGUAGCAGUGAAAUGCGUAGAGAUCAUGAGGAAGACCAGUGGCGAAGGCGGGUCUCUGGACAGUUCCUGACACUGAGGCACGAAGGCUAGGGGAGCGAACGGGAUUAGAUACCCCUGUAGU
rnacentral:rRNA from 1 species